GCUUGGAUAGCUCAGCUGGUUAGAAUGUGGUGCUCACGAUGCCAGGGUUGCAGGUUUGAUCCCUGUAUGGGGCA